rnacentral:piRNA from 1 species
UAUGAUCAAGCCUUAUGAUGG